rnacentral:misc_RNA from 1 species
GUGAAUCAUCAAAUCUUUGAACGCAAAUUGCACUCUCUGGUAUUCCGGAGAGUAUGCCUGUUUGAGGGUCAGUAUAAAAAAAAUCGACAUAGUUGCUGUUACGCGGUAACAUUCGUCGGAAAUUGGGUCAUCUUAAACCUUUGGGUUUAAGCGGCUUAAGAUUUUCUUUACGAUUCCAAGAACGUUUCUAAGAUUUUAUCUUCUUAUACGUUUAAGGUAUCGAUCUUUAUUAGACGUGGCAGUUGAAUAGGAUUGCGUCCAUAAAUAUUUCGUUAACUGACCCUAGCC